UGUGAUGAAAAAAAUGAAGACACUUACAGUAUCACUCUGACAGAUGUAACAGAAGCUGAUAAACACAUCUACUACUGCAGAUUCAUUACAAACAGAGGAACAUGGACGGGGAUUCCUGGAGCUCAGCUGGAUGUCACCGACCUGCAGGUGGAAACACAGCAGAGUGUGAAAGAAGGAGAUUCAGUCACUCUGAAAUGUAAAAGCAGCUGCUCUCUGCCUCAACAAACAACAUUCAUCUGGUUCAGAAACACACAGAGAUUAACUACAGGAACCGUGAAAGAGAAUCAGCUUCAGCUGCAGUCAGUCAGUCGUCAAGAUGCAGGAAACUAUCAGUGUGCUGUUUCAGGAUAAUAACAUCUGAUCUCUCCACCUGUUUAUCUUAAUGUUGAAUAUCCUCCACAGAACGUCUCGGUGUCCAUCAGUCCGUCUGUAAUAGUGGAGGGAGAUUCAGUGACUCUGAGCUGCAGCAGUGACUCAAAACCUCCUGCUCUCAUCUUCAGAUGGUUUAAGGAGAAUCAAAGCUCAUCUGUUGGAUCUGG